AUUGAACGCUGGCGGCAUGCUUUACACAUGCAAGUCGAACGGUAACAGGCCUUCGGGUGCUGUCGAGUGGCGAACGGGUGAGUAAUGCAUCGGAACGUACCCAGAGGUGGGGGAUAACGCAGCGAAAGCUGUGCUAAUACCGCAUGUGAUCUGAGGAUGAAAGCGGGGGACCGAGCAGCAAUGUUUGGCCUCGCGCCUUUGGAGCGGCCGAUGCCGGAUUACCUCGUUGGUGGGGUAAAGGCCUACCAAGGCGACGAUCCGUAGCUGGUCUGAGAGGACGACCAGCCACACUGGGACUGAGACACGGCCCAGACUCCUACGGGAGGCAGCGGUGGGAAAUUUUGCACAAUGGGCGCAAGCCUGAUCCAGCAAUGCCGCGUGCGGGAAGAAGGCCUUCGGUUUGUAAACCGCUUUUGGCAGGAACGAAACGGUGUCCGCUAAUACCGGGCGCUAAUGACGGUACCUGCAGAAUAAGCACCGGCUAACUACGU
rnacentral:rRNA from 1 species